rnacentral:lncRNA from 1 species
GUCCAUUUCCUGGCUUGGCCCUUAGAAACAUUUUUUUGUUGAUUCUGUCUCUCCCAGCACUCACCCUCUGGCUGAAUGAUGAGGACCCAGAGUGUAAGGAAGGGAAGAGUCACAGUGUUCAUGGAGCCCUCAAUGACUGCAUGUAACAGAGCUCUUCAGGACCUGUUCUUCAGAUUUCCUUUUGAGCCAGCUGGUCUGAUCUUGGAGGGUGUUGGCCUUGGCCAUGUCAAUGUCAUGUAG